rnacentral:rRNA from 1 species
UGAACGCUGGCGGUAUGCUUAACACAUGCAAGUCGAACGGAAACGAUACUAGCUUGCUAGUAGGCGUCGAGUGGCGGACGGGUGAGUAACGCGUAGGAAUCUGCCUGAUAGUGGGGGAUAGCCCGAAGAAAUUCGGAUUAAUACCGCAUAAUCUAUUCGUAGUAAAGUGGGGGACUUUCGAGCCUCACGCUAUCAGAUGAGCCUGCGUAAGAUUAGCUUGUUGGUAGGGUAAAAGCCUACCAAGGCGACGAUCUUUAGCUGGUCUGAGAGGAUGAUCAGCCACAUCGGGACUGAGACACGGCCCGAACUCCUACGGGAGGCAGCAGUGGGGAAUAUUGGACAAUGGGGGCAACCCUGAUCCAGCAAUACCGCGUGUGUGAAGAAGGCCUGAGGGUUGUAAAGCACUUUCAAUUGUGAAGAAAAGUUAGCGGUUAAUAACCGUUAGCCUUGACGUUAACUUUAGAAGAAGCACCGGCUAACUCCGUGCCAGCAGCCGCGGUAAUACGGAGGGUGCAAGCGUUAAUCGGAAUUACUGGGCGUAAAGCGUGCGUAGGCGGUUUAUUAAGUCAGAUGUGAAAGCCCCGGGCUUAACCUGGGAACUGCAUUUGAAACUGGUCAACUAGAGUAUGGUAGAGGAAAGUGGAAUUUCUGGUGUAGCGGUGAAAUGCGUAGAUAUCAGAAGGAACAUCAAUGGGCGAAGGCAGCUUUCUGGACCAAUACUGACGCUGAGGUACGAAAGCGUGGGUAGCAAACAGGAUUAGAUACCCUGGUAGUCCACGCCGUAAACGAUGAUAACUAGCCGUUGGGGGGAUUUACCCUUUAGUGGCGAAGCUAACGCGUUAAGUUAUCCGCCUGGGGAGUACGGCCGCAAGGUUAAAACUCAAAGGAAUUGACGGGGACCCGCACAAGCGGUGGAGCAUGUGGUUUAAUUCGAUGCAACGCGAAGAACCUUACCUGGUCUUGACAUCCUGCGAACUUUCUAGAAAUAGAUUGGUGCCUUCGGGAACGCAGUGACAGGUGCUGCAUGGCUGUCGUCAGCUCGUGUCGUGAGAUGUUGGGUUAAGUCCCGUAACGAGCGCAACCCCUAUCCUUAUUUGCCAGCACAUCAUGGUGGGAACUAUAAGGAGACUGCCGGUGAUAAACCGGAGGAAGGCGGGGACGACGUCAAGUCAUCAUGGCCCUUACGACCAGGGCUACACACGUGCUACAAUGGGAAGGACAAAGAGCCGCGAAGCCGCGGGGUGUAGCUAAUCUCAUAAACCUUUUCGUAGUCCGGAUUGGAGUCUGCAACUCGACUCCAUGAAGUCGGAAUCGCUAGUAAUCGUAGAUCAGAAUGCUACGGUGAAUACGUUCCCGGGUCUUGUACUCACCGCCC